UCCUUGGCAGUCCAGUGGUUAGGACUUGGCACUUUCACUGCCAGGGCCUGGGUUCAAUCCCUGGUCAAGGAA
rnacentral:tRNA from 1 species